rnacentral:rRNA from 1 species
GCAGUGGGGAAUAUUGCACAAUGGGCGCAAGCCUGAUGCAGCGACGCCGCGUGAGGGAUGGAGGCCUUCGGGUUGUAAACCUCUUUUAUCGGGGAGCAAGCGAGAGUGAGUUUACCCGUUGAAUAAGCACCGGCUAACUACGUGCCAGCAGCCGCGGUAAUACGUAGGGUGCAAGCGUUAUCCGGAAUUAUUGGGCGUAAAGGGCUCGUAGGCGGUUCGUCGCGUCCGGUGUGAAAGUCCAUCGCUUAACGGUGGAUCCGCGCCGGGUACGGGCGGGCUUGAGUGCGGUAGGGGAGACUGGAAUUCCCGGUGUAACGGUGGAAUGUGUAGAUAUCGGGAAGAACACCAAUGGCGAAGGCAGGUCUCUGGGCCGUUACUGACGCUGAGGAGCGAAAGCGUGGGGAGCGAACAGGAUUAGAUACCCUGGUAGUCCACGCCGUAAACGGUGGAUGCUGGAUGUGGGGCCCGUUCCACGGGUUCCGUGUCGGAGCUAACGCGUUAAGCAUCCCGCCUGGGGAGUACGGCCGCAAGGCUAAAACUCAAAGAAAUUGACGGGGGCCCGCACAAGCGGCGGAGCAUGCGGAUUAAUUCGAUGCAACGCGAAGAACCUUACCUGGGCUUGACAUGUUCCCGACGGUCGUAGAGAUACGGCUUCCCUUCGGGGCGGGUUCACAGGUGGUGCAUGGUCGUCGUCAGCUCGUGUCGUGAGAUGUUGGGUUAAGUCCCGCAACGAGCGCAACCCUCGCCCCGUGUUGCCAGCGGAUUAUGCCGGGAACUCACGGGGGACCGCCGGGGUUAACUCGGAGGAAGGUGGGGAUGACGUCAGAUCAUCAUGCCCCUUACGUCCAGGGCUUCACGCAUGCUACAAUGGCCGGUACAACGGGAUGCGACGCGGCGACGCGGAGCGGAUCCCUGAAAACCGGUCUCAGUUCGGAUCGCAGUCUGCAACUCGACUGCGUGAAGGCGGAGUCGCUAGUAAUCGCGAAUCAGCAACGUCGCGGUGAAUGCGUUCCCGGGCCUUGUACACACCGCCCGUCAAGUCAUGAAAGUGGGUAGCACCCGAAGCCGGUGGCCCGACCCUUGUGG